AGAGGUCUCAAGCGUUGUUCGGAUUCAUUGGGCGUAAAGGGUGCGUAGGCGGCGCGGUAAGUCGGGUGUGAAAUCUCGGAGCUUAACUCCGAAACUGCAUUCGAUACUGCCGUGCUUGAGGACUGGAGAGGAGACUGGAAUUUACGGUGUAGCGGUGAAAUGCGUAGAUAUCGUAAGGAAGACCAGUGGCGAAGGCGGGUCUCUGGACAGUUCCUGACGCUGAGGCACGAAGGUCAGGGGAGCAAACGGGAUUAGAUACCCCGGUAGUCCUGACAGUAAACGGUGCACGUUUGGUGUGGGAGGAUUCGACCCCUUCUGCGCCGGAGCUAACGCGUUAAACGUGCCGCCUGGGGAGUACGGUCGCAAGAUUAAA
rnacentral:rRNA from 1 species